CCCUGUUUUAACUUUUUAAUUCCAAAAUGAACUAAGACCAGAAAAAUAUACAAUAUUAUUCAUGUUGUUCCAAGAGCAUUUUGUUUUUAAUUUUGUUAACAAAAUAAAAUAUAACUUAUUGCAUUUUACUUUGUUCAUUUUCAUAAUGCUGUAUGAAGAUAAAUAUGUUGCAAGUCCUGUUCUAAAACGCAAGCACUCAAUGCCUCUAAUACAAGAAAAAUGUACCUUUAUUUCCACAACUGAAAACCUCCUCCAUAACCUCAUUUUUAAUAAGAGUCUUACAACCAAUUCUAAAAAGUUGUUUUCAAUAUGUCCAUCACCGACAAGAGUGUCUUUUUCGAUAAAUCCAAUAACAUCAACAAAAAAUACCUGUAGGAAAUUUAAAACAUACACUGAUGGUGGAAACUCUUUUAAGGAGAUGUCCACUAAACAUAAUAAUUUUAUUAUAUAUUAAUAUUAAUUUAUUAUAUAUAUUAAUUAAUAAUAAUUUUUUGAUUGUUUUAUUUAAUGUUUGUUUACCUUGUUGCUAAUAGACAUGACGUUGAAUAGACAAACUAAAUGUUGUCUACGGUCUGGGGUUUAGAUGAUAUUAAAAAAAUAUAAUAAACACUGAGAAAGUAAAUUCAGUUGAUUAAUAUUUCAAUGUCUUGCAGCUACAUCCUCUAAACAAUUUUCCUGCAAUUUCUGCUACCCUAUAAAAAACUUGGUGGCCCCAAUUAUAGAUUUGAUGGCCCUCUGGAUUUUAUCUACCUUAUAAUAAUGCCUUUGAUCAUGGUAUGCUCAAAGACAUCAUUAACCUAAUACUUUAGUUCUUUUAAUCAUGGAACUGAAGUAUAAGGUUAUUUUUUUAAUGUUUAUUUCCAUAUAAAAUUUCAAUACACUUUGCUUAUGCGGCUAGCAAAGUUAGAAGAAAAUCAAAAAGACAUUUCUGAAAUACUUGGAUUGCUUCAAGAUAAUGAUAUGGUGGCCAAUAAUAGUUCAGACAGUUUAGAAGUGCCUCAAAGCAUUGAAGAAUUUGAGGCAGAGGAGAGUAAACUCAAAGUCAAUGUAUAUCUUCAAAAGAAGGUUAUUUUAAACAUUUACAUACAGUUACAGUUAUUUUUUAAAUACUUGCAGAUUUAUAAAUUUUUAUACUAGUUCAUUUAAUAGUUUAAAAUUAAGAUAAAUAUAAGAUUCACAAAUUAUUUUAAGUAUCAAGCUUAAAUGAAAUAUUUUCAAAAAAUAAACUUUAUUAUGUACGAAUAGCUUCAAAAACAAGAGAAAUUUUUUUUUAAAUUUUUGAUUUAAUAUAUUGAUUUAAUUUUUGUAUUGUUUUAAAAAAACCAGAUAAAAGAAAUUGUCGGAAAAGACGCAAGAACAGCAGUUUAGGCUUGCUCUUGAUGCAUUAAUGUUACGAGAAAUACAAGAUAGCUUUAGUCUGUAUGAAGUGUUAUUUAGUAUGUAUUGAAGAACAAGCAGUCUUUUUCAAAGACACUUCACUAUUUGUGUUUAACAGGUGCUCUACUUAAUAGCAGCAAGGAAGAUUAUCGUAAAGAUCGGUUAGAUUAUCACAUUGGUGAUAUUUUGAAACGAGCCAUUCGAAACAAAGCAAUUAGAAGUCCAAAACCUGUUGAUACAUAAUAGAUAAAUGAGCCUUCUCAUAUAAAACUCAUUCGUUCUUUGUGGCUUCGUAUCAGACAAGCAAGAUUAUAUAUGAUUACUUUGUUUUUUGAUUUUGUAAAUACAUUUUUCAAAUUCA
rnacentral:lncRNA from 1 species